rnacentral:rRNA from 1 species
UACAGAGGGCCCAAGCGUUGUUCGGAUUCAUUGGGCGUAAAGGGUGCGUAGGUGGCGCCGUAAGUCAGGUGUGAAAUCUCGGGGCUUAACUCCGAAACUGCAUUUGAUACUGCGGUGCUUGAGGACUGGAGAGGAGACUGGAAUUUACGGUGUAGCAGUGAAAUGCGUAGAGAUCGUAAGGAAGACCAGUGGCGAAGGCGGGUCUCUGGACAGUUCCUGACACUGAGGCACGAAGGCCAGGGGAGCAAACGGG